rnacentral:rRNA from 1 species
CCUACGGGAGGCAGCAGUAAGGAAUAUUGGUCAAUGGGCGCAAGCCUGAACCAGCCAUGCCGCGUGCAGGAAGACAGCCCUAUGGGUUGUAAACUGCUUUUGUACGGGAAAAAACCUCUGGUCGUGAACCGGAGCUGAUGGUACCGUAAGAAUAAGCAUCGGCUAACUCCGUGCCAGCAGCCGCGGUAAUACGGAGGAUGCAAGCGUUAUCCGGAUUCAUUGGGUUUAAAGGGUGCGCAGGCGGAAUGAUAAGUCAGUGGUGAAAUCCUGCAGCUUAACUGCAGAACUGCCAUUGAUACUGUUGUUCUUGAGUAUAGUUGAAGUGGGCGGAAUGUGUCAUGUAGCGGUGAAAUGCUUAGAUAUGACACAGAACACCGAUCGCGAAGGCAGCUCGCUAAGCUAUAACUGACGCUCAUGCACGAAAGCGUGGGGAUCAAACAGGAUUAGAUACCCUGGUAGUCCACGCCGUAAACGAUGAUUACUCGAUGUUGGCGAUA